rnacentral:rRNA from 1 species
AGUGAACGCUGGCGGUAGGCCUAACACAUGCAAGUCGAACGGCAGCACAGAGGAGCUUGCUCCUUGGGUGGCGAGUGGCGGACGGGUGAGGAAUACAUCGGAAUCUAUUCUGUCGUGGGGGAUAACGUAGGGAAACUUACGCUAAUACCGCAUACGACCUACGGGUGAAAGCAGGGGAUCUUCGGACCUUGCGCGAUUGAAUGAGCCGAUGUCGGAUUAGCUAGUUGGCGGGGUAAAGGCCCACCAAGGCGACGAUCCGUAGCUGGUCUGAGAGGAUGAUCAACCAAACUGGAACUGAGACACGGUACAGAGUCCUAAGGGAGGGAGCAGUGGGGAAUAUUGGACAAUGGGCGCAAGCCUGGACCAGCCAUACCGCGUGGGUGAAGAAUGCCUUCGGGUUGUAAAGCCCUUUUGUUGGGAAAGAAAUCCAUCUGGUUAAUACCCGGGUGGGAUGACGGUACCCAAAGAAUAAGCACCGGCUAGCUUCGUGCCAGCCGCCGCGGUAA